rfam:Cicer arietinum chromosome Ca4, whole genome shotgun sequence.
GCGCCCGUGGCCUAAUGGAUAAGGCGUUUGACUUUUAAUUAAGCGAUUGUGGGUUCGAGUCCCACCGGGCGUG